rnacentral:lncRNA from 1 species
GGAAUGAUAUGGUUUGGUUCUGUGUCCCCACCCAAAUCUCAUCUUCAAUUGUAACUCUCACAAUUCUCAUGUAUCGUGGGAGGAACCCAGUGGGAGGUGAUUGAAUUAUGGGGGCAGGUCUUUCCUGCGCUGUUCUCAUGGUCAUGAAUGAGUCUCAUGAGAGCUGAUGGUUUUAAAAAUGAGUGUUUCCCUGCACAAGCUCUCUCUUUG